rnacentral:rRNA from 1 species
GAUGAACGCUGGCGGCGUGCCUAAUACAUGCAAGUCGAGCGAAUGGAUUAAGAGCUUGCUCUUAUGAAGUUAGCGGCGGACGGGUGAGUAACACGUGGGUAACCUGCCCAUAAGACUGGGAUAACUCCGGGAAACCGGGGCUAAUACCGGAUAACAUUUUGAACCGCAUGGUUCGAAAUUGAAAGGCGGCUUCGGCUGUUACUUAUGGAUGGACCCGCGUCGCAGUAGCUAGUUGGUGAGGUAACGGCUCACCAAGGCAACGAUGCGUAGCCGACCUGAGAGGGUGAUCGGCCACACUGGGACUGAGACACGGCCCAGACUCCUACGGGAGGCAGCAGUAGGGAAUAUUCCGCAAUGGACGAAAGUCUGACGGAGCAACGCCGCGUGAGUGAUGAAGGCUUUCGGGUCGUAAAACUCUGUUGUUAGGGAAGAACAAGUGCUAGUUGAAUAAGCUGGCACCUUGACGGUACCUAACCAGAAAGCCACGGCUAACUACGUGCCAGCCGCCGCGGUAA